rnacentral:rRNA from 1 species
UACGUAGGGUGCGAGCGUUGUCCGGAAUUACUGGGCGUAAAGAGCUCGUAGGUGGUUUGUCGCGUUGUCCGUGAAAACUCACAGCUCAACUGUGGGCGUGCGGGCGAUACGGGCAGACUGGAGUACUGCAGGGGAGACUGGAAUUCCUGGUGUAGCGGUGGAAUGCGCAGAUAUCAGGAGGAACACCGGUGGCGAAGGCGGGGUCUCUGGGCAGUAACUGACGCUGAGGAGCGAAAGUGUGGGGAGCGAACAGG